rnacentral:rRNA from 1 species
GACCUCAGUCAGGUAGGAUACCCGGAGA